AUUGAACGCUGGCGGCAUGCCUUACACAUGCAAGUCGAACGGUAACAGGUCUUCGGAUGCUGACGAGUGGCGAACGGGUGAGUAAUACAUCGGAACGUGCCCGAUCGUGGGGGAUAACGGAGCGAAAGCUUUGCUAAUACCGCAUACGAUCUACGGAUGAAAGCAGGGGACCGCAAGGCCUUGCGCGGACGGAGCGGCCGAUGGCAGAUUAGGUAGUUGGUGGGAUAAAAGCUUACCAAGCCGACGAUCUGUAGCUGGUCUGAGAGGACGACCAGCCACACUGGGACUGAGACACGGCCCAGACUCCUACGGGAGGCAGCAGUGGGGAAUUUUGGACAAUGGGCGCAAGCCUGAUCCAGCCAUGCCGCGUGCAGGAUGAAGGCCUUCGGGUUGUAAACUGCUUUUGUACGGAACGAAAAGACUCUGGUUAAUACCUGGG
rnacentral:rRNA from 1 species